CUGGGACUAGGUGAUUUGGGGGCGGGGCGGAGGAUGACGCAAGCGAAAAAAUAAAAGGCCUAGUGGAUUUCCCAACAACAAGGCCAAAACUGCCCUAAAACUGCCCUGGUUGCGAAAUGCCCAAUUAUUGUGUUCUCAAACAGAAUUAUUUGCAACUUAACAGCGAAUUUAAACCGAUACAGGUAAAAUAAACUCAUUUAUAGUAUAAACGUACUAUUUUUAUUUGUAUACACGCCUAGAAAAUCGGGGUCUUAUCAUAAAGUUUCAAGCUACACUAUUAUUAUGUUGCGAAAGGUCAAAAUGAGUCAAAAUAUUACUACAAAAUAGAAUUUAGUUUAGUCAUAAAAU